AAACCUGGGAGCCCAGGCAGCAGACGCGUGGGAUCUGACCGAACGCAACGGAAACAGCGCGCGACGUUGGCUCCGCCUCCCCCAGGUCACCUGUGGAGAAAUAAACAUCAUCUCUCAUCAGAGAAUUGUUCCUCCGUUUGAUGAUGAGUGCAUCCUGACAUCUGGAAUUCAAUUGACUGUUUUGUCUUAGAGCCAAGAAUCUAGAAACUCUCCAAUCCUGAGGUCAAAAUGGAAUGUGUCUUUGCUCUUCCUCUGGGCAUCAUCUAAUUUUUAUGUUCUAGUUUUCCUUGUACUGAAAUCUACAGCACCCUCUCUUAGCCCCUCAAUCAGCCUUUCUUCUGCAGAGCAGCUUAGUUCUAUUUAGCAACUACAAACCUAUUCACGUGCCUCCAGAGUUCAGCAGUGUCUUUUAAGUACGGAAUAGGUCAUUCUUUUGCAUUUUAUUGAGAUGACUACUUUUAAAAAAUUGGUUGCUGCCCAGAACUGUUAAGAAUAUCACUUGCUUUAGUUAAGUGAGUGAAACAAGAUGUGGUAACACAGGUUUGGGGGACUAGGGUUGGGCAAUGUGGUAGCACAUGAUUUUGUUACUUGAGAUUAUCUAUAAUUGUAUAUAUCAGUGACCAGGGUGAUAUGAAGCUCACAGGGGCUCUUGAAGUUCUGCUUCUUUUCUACUCCUUAAUACAAUACAAUAUUUAGGUUCAUCUUUUCAAUUUUCCUGGAGAAAUUAAAUACUGUACCAUAAUAUAUAAGUAAGUAAUUUGAGGAAGGGCAUGAAUGGAGAGGAGGCAGGAAAACAUUCUAGGUUGGAAAAAAUGGCAGAAAUAAUGUUGGGGCAUUGGAGUGAUGGUGGAGGUGGGAAUAGAAUUUAGGAUCUCUUCAUCCCAUACUAUGCUUCUAUCUUCAUAAAAUUAGUAUGGCCAAAUACUAAAUCAGCUCAUUUCUAGCAGGGAAGAAUAGGAUGAAUAUGUCUUUCUAGCUGUCCUUGAGAUGUAAAUCUCCUGUCGUAGCUUCCUUAGUGGUCACCUCAAAGGUUUUGUUAUCUCUAGGAUAGAUGCUACAAAGUGGGCAGUACUUGUGUGAGUGUGUGUGUGUGUGUGUGUGUGUGUGUGUGUAUCAAUUUUUUAAAAUAUGACAAAUAGAACUAGGGGCAAGAGAAGGAUGGACAGAGGAGCCUGUGAUGGAGUGGUAGACACUAAAUGUUUUCCAGUUGUAAGUAGCAGAGGAGGAAAAGGGAGACUGGGUAACACUUUUUCAGACCUUCAUCAUGUAGUCCAUUUUAUGUUCGAAUAUUAGCAAACCUACUCCAGCUUUCUUAAACAGUAGGGUUUUUAUUACAACAUGGUUAAGAGAGUAGGCUUAGGAGUAAGACUGCUUGAAUUUAAAUUCUUGAGAUCCUGAGUAAGUUACUUAAUCUUGGUGUCUCAGUUUCUUCAUUCCAAUUAAGUAAAUACAUUUCAAUUAAAUUAUAUUAGUAAAUGUAAAGCACAUAGAAAAGUGCUUGGUUUCUGGUGAGUUUUCAAUAGUGUUAACUAUUAUUUGUUGUUAUUAUUUUAGCAAAACCAACCUCCCAAACCUGUGAAGUCAGUUUACAGAAAGCCAGCAGGAAAAGGAAAAUAAGAAGAUUCUUUACUUUGCUGUCAUUUGAUACACUGAGCAUUUUAAAUGACUAUAUUUAUAGUAUUAACUGUGCCUUUCCACAAAACUAUGUGUGUGCAUAUGAAUUAUAGGGCUUUAAUUUGAAACUGAUCUAAAUAUGUAGUUACUUUAAUCAUACAACAAACCUACCAAAUAUUUAGCAAAAAUUAUCAUGGUGACUAAAUACAGAAAAGCUGCCGCUACCAACACCUGCACCCAAUUGACUGCACAGGAUGAAUAAUUGGAUGGUGGUGUAAAGAAUGCUCAUGAGGACUAGGCUGCUGCUAAUUAGAUCUUCUAUGCUAUUUAAAUGUUCUCCAAGCUUCAGGGAGUGCCCUGAAGGCAGUUGGACAUUAGCCUUGUGGUUUUUGAGGUUAACCUACAGUUUGUCAGCAGAGGGGUGGAGGUGAGCACCAUGGGACUUUUCCCAGGCUGCUGGUUAACAUACUGUAGUUUUAAUCCUUUAAGCCAAUAAAGGGGGGAGAGAGAAAGAAGACAGACUGAAAUUAGAGGAAAAGAGAGAAAGAAAGGGAAAGUAGAAGUAAUAAUAAUAUUUAUGAAAUGUCUUCUUUGGGCCAGAUACUUUUUAGGAACUUUCACAUAUUGUCCUUACAACAACUCUGUGGUAAAUAUAAGAUUAUACUAUCUGCGUUAGUAACAUUUUUGGGUGCCUAUACAACUAUUUCUCUUUACUUUUUUUCUUGCUGAUAGAAGCAUCACUUUUUUUUUUUUUUUUUUUUUUUUAGUAUUUACCUCUCAAAUAGAACUUAUGUUCCAUCCUUCAGCAAUAGGUGUAAUUCUGAAAGGUCAUUGUUUUGCAAUUAUCCUUGAAAGGAAAUGCUUGGGCAUAACAACAGAUAAGAUUCUAGCCAAUGAAACGUGAUGAGAAGAUUACCAGAAGCUUCUGAGAAAGGUUUCUUUAUUCUUUAACAAAU